AUUCAAGGGAGCAGGUGAGAGCCUGCAGACAUUCAUCUUCUCAGCUCUACAAAGCUGGCCAGGAGAUGGGGAAAGGUAAGGGAGAUGAUUCAUGGCCUGGGCGCUUCAUCCGUCACUCGGGGUGUCCUCGGCAAUGGGGAAGCAGGAUUGAUGGUCCCUGGUCUCAGGUUGGCAGUGUGGUGGGGAUCCACAGCCUCCAUCUCAUUAGCCAGACCAACGAGGCUGAGAAUCAUUGGGACCUGAGUACCAGGCCCCAGCGUGAAGCUAAGAGCCAGUAGGGCAAGGGGUGGGACAGGGGACAGAGUGACUUUGCCAGAAAAUGUCCCCUCCACCACUCCCAUACUCCAGGGACAGUUAGAUCUUGGCAAGGGGCAGUUCCUGCCUCUGGAUAGGUGAAGGAUCUUGUUAGAAGACACACCUUCUAAAAGUAGGGGAAAGAGCACUGGUCCCAGUACCAGGCCCAACUCUUUCCCUCCCCUCUCCUGGCUCAGGUUCAUGAGAUGGGUAGAUCAGAAGUUGAAAACCAGUGGAACCAGACCUAUUGUCUUUGACCAGCACAGUGUCAAUUUUUUAAUAAAAACACAAGUAACUAGCUUCCUUGAAAAAACGUCAGAAGAUCUCACGAUCAGAUGGAAUUGAGAGCAGCUGCUGCCCCGAGGGGGCACACAUUCUCCACUGUGGAUCACACCCAUCCCCUCGUCUCUCUGUUUUAGUCAGCUUUUUUGCUGCUGUGACCAAAAGACCUGACAAGAACAGUUUUAAAGGAGGAAAAGUUUAUUUGGGGCCUCAUAGUUUCAGAGAGUCUCAGUCCAUAGAUGGCUGACUCCACUGCUCUGCAGGACAUCAUGGUGGAAGGACGUGGAAGAGAAAAGCAGUUCAGGACAUGGCCACCAGGAAGGGGCAGGGGAGAGAGAGAGACAGAGAGAGAGAGAGAGAGAGAGACAGAGAGAGAGAGAGACUCCCCUCACCCCAGACAAAAUACACACCCAAAGGCACCCCCACCCCCGCAGGGACCCACCUCCUCCAGCCAUACCCUUCCUACCUAUAGUUUCCACCCAGUGAAUCCAUUCAAGUGGAUUAAUGCACUAAUUAGGUUAAGACUCUCAUAACCCAAUCAUUUCACCUCUAAACUCUCUCAUUGUCUCACACAUGAGCAUUGUGGCAGGGGGUGGAUACCUCACAUCUUAACCAUAGAACUGCCAACCCCUUCUUUUGUCCCCUGCUUCAGAGCCUCUAAGUUUCCUCUGUCUCCAGUUUCAUCAGCUGCUCCCAGCUCCUGGUGGGCUCUGACUGACCUCAUGUAGGUAAAAAUAGACAGUGCUUCGCUGGCCGCCUGCACUGUGUGCCCCUUGCCUUGAAGCCCUGGGCUUCCCUUUCCAGAGGUGGAAGCUGCAGAGCUCCACUCAGCACCCACCGUGCACAACCUGAAAGUGCUGGGGAGUUAAUGCCCAGUGAGCCAAAACUUUGAUCAAUGGAAAAUGGGAGCUAGUGGAAAAGUCUUCCCUCUUCCUCCCUCCCAGCAGAUGCUCCUGAGACAUACAGCUUUUUGAAAUGGUCUUGCAAGAUUGAGCAAUCAGUCGCACUUGGCAGCAGCCAGCUCCGUAAUGCAUCCUCAGAAUGACUCUCCCCUCCCUGCCUCACUCUCCUGCCUGGGACUGUGCUCCCUAAUGAAGAAGUAGCAGACUUUGCCUUGGGCUCUGCUUUCUGGGGAAUCCUGGAACAGUUGGUGUUGGGAGCAACCCUCAAGAUGAGAUUCUGGAGUAGGACUGGGCACUGGGGUUCUGGCAAUAAGAACACUAUUGCUCGUGAUUAGUUGGGUGGUAACAGCCCUGACAUGCAAUGGCCUCAGAGUUACUAAAGCUCUCACCUGUAUACUCUGGGGAAGAGGUGCAGGUAGAAGGCGAGGCAUCGGGACAGACCAUGAUCAUGACAUUGAUGGGAGACAGAGGCUGCGUGGGGGAGGAUUUGUGGACAUGAAAAGACUCACCCUUGAUUUCAGAUCGAGUGUUAGGACUGCACUGUGUUCCCCUGCCUCAAAGCCCUGAGCAUCCCAGUGAACCUGGCCUUAUGGUGUGUGGGAUAGCUACUCAGAGCUCGGCCAUGGCAAUGGGUGAGAGAAAAUGAGUAGAAAUGCCAGAGCUUUAUCAGCAUGGUACUGAGGGGGUGUCAGGAGGCUCAGGGAGGUGGGAUUCCAGAGUUGAUUUUCUGCAUAGUACCUGAACUUACCAGUUGACUCUUAUCGUGGGAGGCAUCGUGUAUCCCCAAGAGAUUCACACAGCCUACACCAGUACACGUGAAUGGGACCUAAGGUGAAGCAGAGCUUUAGGAGAUGCAUUCAGGUUUAGAUGCAGUCAGCAGGGUGAGCCCUAGUCCAACAUGACUGGUGUUCUUCUGAAAAAACAGGAGAGGACACACAGAGACCCCGAGGGAGGAUGGCGACAUGAAGACAGGAGUAGAGACUGGAGUUAUGCUGCUGUGAGCCACAGCUGGAAGAGACAGAGAAGAUCCAUUCUUCCCUGGAGGCUUCCAAAGGUGGCGGGGUCUCUUUUGCCUUGAUUUCAGACUGCCGGCCUGCUGAACUCUGAGAAAGUCGAUUUCGAUUGUUUAAAGCCAAGCAUUUGCGGCACUUUGUUGCAGCAGCCCUAGAAAACAAAUGCAAGCCCGGCUCCCGCCAAAGCAAUAAGGGGUGCCCUGGUUGGAGGUGGGGGGACACCAGUAUCUGAGAAAUUUCGUGGUGGUUGUUUUCAGUAAACCAGGGCUGAUGGUGGUACGAGGCUCACUAAGAUCUGGGGCAGGGCAGAAUUUGGGUGGCAUAAAGGCCAUGGGGUGGCAUUUACACAUC
rnacentral:lncRNA from 1 species